rnacentral:tRNA from 1 species
GGUAAAGCUCAGUGGUAGAGUACUUGCCUUGCAAUAUGAGGUACUGGGUUCAAUCCUCAGCACCA